AUUUAUUACAUGGCUUGGUAGAAUUCCAAUGUAGGAAGAGAGAAGAGGAGGAGCAGGAGAAGAGAGGAGGAGAGAGGAGGAGGCGGAAAAGCAGAAACCAGGAAACAGACAGCUGUACAAUCAGUAAGCAGAGGCAGGGUCCAGCACAGGGGAAACUGAGCCAGGGAGAGUUGAAGUCUUUCUUCCAGAGCAAGCCAUCAAGAGGAACAACAAGGUCUUGGACUAUUUGAAAGGUAGGACAACAAAAACCCAGGCAUACUUCAAAUGUGGCAUGGAUAGAAAGACCAUUGCUGAUACUGCUGCAAUUGCGGAGCUCGAAGGUUGUAACAAAGAGGCCUACAAAAAUUUGCGAGACACCUUCCAAAGAGGACAGAAACUGUCUGAUUUUGCAGAGCGGUGAAGAGAAUUAUGCAGACAGGAGCCAGUGCAAAGCACCAUUGAAAACAAAAAGAAAGUUGGCUUGCUUAUAGACUUUUGUGGGAGACUAAAAUAAUCUGUUUAUGCAUGUGUAUGUGUGUUUCUUUGUAUGAUAAAUACCAUUCCAUGCAUGUU